rnacentral:rRNA from 1 species
GCCAGCAGCCGCGGUAAUACGAAGGUCCCAAGCGUUGUUCGGAAUAACUGGGCGUAAAGCGUGUGUAGGCCGCGCGGAAAGUCGGAUGUGAAAGCCCAAGGCUUAACCUUGGAACUGCAUUCGAUACUCCCGUGCUAGAGUAAUGGAGAGGUAAGUGGAAUUCUCGGUGUAGCAGUGAAAUGCGUAGAUAUCGAGAGGAACAUCAAUGGCGAAGGCAACUUACUGGACAUUUACUGACGCUCAGACACGAAGGCUAGGGGAGCGAAAGGGAUUAGAUACCCCUGUAGUCCUAGCAGUAAACGGUGCUCGCUUGGUGUGGGGAGGUUCGACCCUCUCUGUGCCGGAGCUAACGCGUUAAGCGAGCCGCCUGGGAAGUACGGUCGCAAGACUAAAACUCAAAGAAAUUGACGGGGACCCGCACAAGCGGUGGAGUAUGUGGCUUAAUUCGAUGCAACGCGAAGAACCUUACCUAGGCUUGACAUGCUUGUCGUAUUCUCCCGAAAAGGAGAAGUCGCUUCGGGCGGACAAUGCACAGGUGCUGCAUGGCCGUCGUCAGCUCGUGUCGUGAGAUGUUUGGUUAAGUCCAGCAACGAGCGCAACCCCUGUGAACUGUUGCCAGCGGAUAAUGCCGGGGACUCUGUUCAGACUGCCCAGAUCAACUGGGAGGAAGGUGGGGACGACGUCAGGUCAGUAUGGCCCUUACGCCUAGGGCUGCACACGUACUACAAUGCCCAGCACAAUGAGAACCAAUACCGCGAGGUGGAGGAAAUCUGUAAAACUGGGCCCAGUUCGGAUUGGAGGCUGCAACUCGCCUCCAUGAAGUUGGAAUCGCUAGUAAUGCCGUAUCAGCUACGACGGCGUGAAUACGUUCCCGGGUCUUGUACACACCGCCCGUCACAUCAUGGAAGUCGGUCGCACCCGAAGUAUAUGCGCUAACUUUCGAGAAGCAGUAUCCUAAGGUGAGGCUGGUAACUGGGAUGAAGUCGUAACAAGGUAGCCGUAGGGGAACCUGCGGCUGGAUCACCUCCUUU